rnacentral:lncRNA from 1 species
UGUGAGCUUUUGAAUUGCCUUGAUUUUCAUUUGUUUGUGAAAUGCUUGUUCUUUAUCCUAUGGAUGUGAAAUUUUGCACAUUGUUUCUAGACAUAUUAGAGGUUGUUUUGGCUUUGAUUUGAGGUUUUUACCUUGAUUCAUUUCUGUUUUAGGCUUGUGCUAAGUUGGUGUAACAUUUGGUGUCAUAUUUGAGCUUGUUUUGAUUGCCUUGCC